GCCUGGAUAGCUCAGUUGGUUAGAACAUGGCUCUGAUAAUGCAGGUUGCAGGUUCGAUCCCCGUGCGGAGCA